AUAUCAAUAAGCGGAGGAAAAGAAACCAACAGGGAUUGCCUUAGUAACGGCGAGUGAAGCGGCAACUGCUCAAAUUUAAAAUCUGGCCUCCUUGGGGCCCGAGUUGUAAUUUGCAGAGGAUGCUCCGGUGAAGGCCCUGGCCGAAGUCCCUUGGAACGGGGCGUCUUAGAGGGUGAGAACCCCGUCCGGC
rnacentral:rRNA from 1 species